AUACGUAGGGGGCAAGCGUUAUCCGGAUUUACUGGGUGUAAAGCGAGCGCAGGCGGUUUCUUAAGUCUGAUGUGAAAGCCCCCGGCUCAACCGGGGAGGGUCAUUGGAAACUGGGAAACUUGAGUGCAGAAGAGGAGAGUGGAAUUCCAUGUGUAGCGGUGAAAUGCGUAGAUAUAUGGAGGAACACCAGUGGCGAAGGCGGCUCUCUGGUCUGUAACUGACGCUGAGGCUCGAAAGCGUGGGGAGCAAACAGGAUUAGAUACCCUGGUAGUCCACGCCGUAAACGAUGAGUGCUAAGUGUUGGAGGGUUUCCGCCCUUCAGUGCUGCAGCUAACGCAUUAAGCACUCCGCCUGGGGAGUACGCCGGCAACGGUGAA
rnacentral:rRNA from 1 species